AGUUUUACUUUAACACUGUAUUUUUUAACUCAGUUGUUACUUCGCCUAAAAGUGUUGACAUUCUGAGAGUUUAAUCAUGAGUAAUUACAGAAAGAAAGGGGGUGAAAACAUUUAUACAGCUCUCAGAACAAAGAAAGUUAUGACUUCCAUGCUUUUUGUUGGAGUUAUCUCAUUUCCCAUAUUUUACUUUGUGAAAGAAUGGCUAUUAAAACAGAAAAAAGUAAUCAAUGAAGAAAGAAGAAGAGUGAUUAAAGAAAUAAGAAUGAAACAACAGGAAGAAUAUGAUGAAAUGCUAAGACGUGAACGUGAAAAGUCUUCAAGUUGAUCAGGAAUACAGAUGUUCAAUUUAAUUUAAGAUAUGUUGACUGGAUGUCAUUCAACUUGGAUCAAGUGUUUGUUGUGUGAAUGUAUAAAAAUUGGCAGAUCAAUCAUUAGCUCUUCUGAAAUGUUUAGGUAAUUAUUACUUAUUGUUGAGGAUAAAACCUUUUCAUAAACAGUGAUCUACCUUACCAGAAAAAUUACCAUUGCCUGUCCAUACUUUAAGUCAGACAGAUGCUGAUAGUGUAUAUAUUUAUUUAUAAAUUUCAUUGUCUUUUUAUAUAUUUUUAUGUUUUGAUUUGUGUACAAAGUUUUGUAACUAUGUGUACUUUGUACAUACACUGGGUAUAAUAGAAAAUGAAUCAUUAUUAUGAUAAACAUUUUGAUGAUU